CAGCCGCCGCGGUAACACCGGCAGCCCGAGUGGUAGCCGCGUUUAUUGGGCCUAAAGCGUCCGUAGCCGGUCCGAUAAGUCUCUGGUGAAAGCCCACAGCUUAACUGUGGGAAUCGCUGGAGAUACUAUCGGACUUGAGGCCGGGAGAGGCUGGAGGUACUCCCAGGGUAGGGGUGAAAUCCUAUAAUCCUGGGAGGACCACCUGUGGCGAAGGCGUCCAGCUGGAACGGACCUGACGGUGAGGGACGAAAGCCAGGGGCGCGAACCGGAUUAGAUACCCGGGUAGUCCUGGCCGUAAACGAUGCGGACUUGGUGUUGGGACGGCUUUGAGCUGUCCCAGUGCCGAAGGGAAGCUGUUAAGUCCGCCGCCUGGGAAGUACGGCCGCAAGGCUGAAACUUAAAGGAAUUGGCGGG
rnacentral:rRNA from 1 species